AAAAUCUUAUAAAUGAUUGAGUAGAAUAGAAAUACACGUUAUACAAUUGAUUUAAUCAAGCAAUACAUAGGUAUGCAUAAUGUAAAUAGGUAGAUUAUGCCAUUUUCAAUAAAACCCUACAAAAAUAAACUAUUUCAAAAUUUAAACUCAAGCUUAUAUUGUUUGUUUAAAGUGAGAAACAACACUUUAGCUUUGCCGAGUAAAACCUUUUUCCUGAGACUUUAGAUAAUAUUUAUCCAAGAAGGAAGUAUGAUGUCUCAAUAUAUUUUCCUUCAAUUCUCGAGAAUGGUUUACUCCAUGAGGAAAAGUUAUGGAUAUCAUAGAACAUAUACGUAGAGAUGAAAAUUGUGUAUAAUUUGAACAUGGUAUUAAAAAAGAAACGGAAAAUCAACAUGGCAAUCCUGACAAUUUGAAGAAUGGUUUGGAGGAGAACAACACUGUUAAGGAAAGUAGUGAUCUAUUGCAAUGUAUUUGGACGUCAAAAUGGGACCCUGAAAUAAAAGGACUUAAAACCUUACUGUCUAACACCAAUGUAUCCCUUUAAUGCCUAGUUUGAUUAUUUUCA
rnacentral:lncRNA from 1 species